rnacentral:rRNA from 1 species
GCCCGCUCAAGAAACUACAAAGGAAUUGACGGGGCCCGCACAAGCGGAGGAGCAUGUGGUUUAAUUCGAUGAUACGCGAGGAACCUUACCUGGGCUCGAACGUAAGAUGACUGUAGGUGAAAGCUUACAUCUCUUCGGAGCAUUUUACGAGGUGCUGCAUGGUUGUCGUCAGCUCGUGCCGUGAGGUGUCGGGUUAAGUCCCAUAACGAGCGCAACCCCUACCUUUAGUUGCCAUCAGGUUAAGCUGGGGACUCUAAAGGAACUGCCUACGCAAGUAGUGAGGAGGGCGGGGAUGACGUCAAAUCAGCACGGCCCUUACGUCCAGGGCUACACACGUGCUACAAUGGCCGAUACAGAGGGCAGCUACCUGGUGACAGGAUGCAAAUCUCCAAAGUCGGUCUCAGUUCGGAUCGGAGUCUGCAACCCGACUCCGUGAAGUUGGAUUCGCUAGUAAUCGCGCAUCAGCCAUGGCGCGGUGAAUACGUUCCCGGGCCUU